GACGAACGCUGGCGGCGUGCUUAACACAUGCAAGUCGAACGGAAAGGCCCUGCUUGCAGGGUACUCGAGUGGCGAACGGGUGAGUAACACGUGGGUGAUCUGCCCUGCACUUCGGGAUAAGCCUGGGAAACUGGGUCUAAUACCGGAUAGGAGCCAUUUUUAGUGUGAUGGUUGGAAAGUUUUUUCGGUGUAGGAUGAGCUCGCGGCCUAUCAGCUUGGUGGUGGGGUAAUGGCCUACCAAGGCGGCGACGGGUAGCCGGCCUGGGAGGGUGGACGGCCACAUUUGGACUGGGAUACGGCCCAGACUCCUACGGGAGGCAGGAGGGGGGAAUAUUGCACAAUGGGCGCGAGCCUGAUGCAGCGACGCCGCGUGGGGGAUGACGGCCUUCGGGUUGUAAACUCCUUUCGCUAGGGACGAAGCUGUUUGUGACGGUACCUAGAUAAGAAGCACCGGCUAACUACGUG
rnacentral:rRNA from 1 species